UUCCCGCGUAGAAGAAACCAGGACUCUGGACUUCACUCCAAAGCCUUGGGGCUCUUUCAUGUUCUGUUUUUCGUCUUUAUUAAUUGGUCGGCAUUUUGAACUGGCAAUGACGAGAUUGAGCUCAAAGGGCUUCAGCAACGGUGACUUGUGUGUCUGGCAUUGGGAUUCAUCCUAUCGUUGUCGGCUCCCAUUAUUGGCAGUGAGGUUCCAUUUUAUUACAGCAGUUCAAUGGCCAUAGGAGUGUUGUUAUUAUAAUCCUUCUUUUUCAGGGCAUGAAAUUGUCACGAACCGGAAGAAAAAAUAUCUUUUACCUUGCCAUAUCUGGAUAUGUGCUUGGAGCUGGGUCUUUCCUUUUGCACCACUUCUCUGUUUUCAUAAAUUCAAUUCUUUAGAAUUUUGGGCUGAGUGAAGAGAUGCACGAUCCAUUGUUGGCAACUUUUAUUAGGCUGGAAACACGAGCAACGCGCAUCCUUGGAAUAAGUCACUUGGAUGGUGCCAGUGUGAAAAGGCCAGAUUUAGAGCUGUCCAGAAGGGGAUGUGGAGUGUUGUCAUUUCUCCAUAUGAGAAAAGAUAUAUUGAUGUGAGAUUCAGCGAUGAAGUACCAGUUUCCUUGGCAGCUGCUCUUGAAGAAGCAAUCGGCGACUUGUGUGUCUGACACUGGGAUUCAUACUAUUGUUGUUGGCUCCCAUUAGUAGCGGUUGGGUUCCAUUUUAUCACAGCAGUUCGAUGGCUCUAGGAGUCUUGUUAUUAUAAUCCUUCUUUUUCAGGGCAUGAAAUUGUUGCCAACCGGAAGAAAAAAACGUCUUUUACAUUGCCAUGCCAUAUCUGGGUCAGUGGUGCUGAUGUUAUUACCACGUGUCGUUUCAGCUUGAAGCUGGGUCUUUCCUUUUGCUUCACUUCUGUCUUAAAUUCAAUUCUUCAUAGUUCUGGGCUGAGCGA